rnacentral:rRNA from 1 species
UACAGAGGUGGCAAGCGUUGUUCGGAAUUACUGGGCGUAAAGGGCUCGUAGGCGGCCAACUAAGUCGGACGUGAAAUCCCCCGGCUUAACCUGGGAACUGCGUCUGAUACUGGAUGGCUUGAAUCCGGGAGAGGGAUGCAGAAUUCCAGGUGUAGCGGUGAAAUGCGUAGAUAUCUGGAGGAAUACCGGUGGCGAAGGCGGCAUCCUGGACCGGCAUUGACGCUGAGGAGCGAAAGCUAAGGGAGCAAACGGG